UACGUAGGUGGCAAGCGUUGUCCGGAUUUAUUGGGUUUAAAGGGUGCGCAGGCGGCCCUGUAAGUCAGUGGUGAAAUACUCUAGCUUAACUAGAGGGGUGCCAAUGAUACUGCAGGGCUUGAGUACAGAUGAGGUAGGCGGAAUUGACGGUGUAGCGGUGAAAUGCAUAGAUAUCGUCAAGAACACCGAUAGCGAAGGCAGCUUACUGGGCUGUAACUGACGCUGAUGCACGAAAGUGUGGGGAUCAAACAGG
rnacentral:rRNA from 1 species